rnacentral:tRNA from 1 species
ACUUAAGUAGUUUAAUUAAAAAUUGUGAUUUGUGGUGUCAUAGAUAUAAAAUUUUAUUUUAUCUUAGGUU